rnacentral:lncRNA from 1 species
AAGUGGCGUUCACGACCAACACGGAGGAGGAGAAGACCGAAGCUAUAAAGCAGAUGUUCCAGGCUCUCAAGGAAUGCUAGCUCCAAGGGGAAGCCCUUCUCCGGCGGUGAUAGCGUUCACGCACCCACGAUGACACGACACAUAUGAUCGUUGUUCGUCAAGCUGAGUCGGAUAACCACUCCAUACUCAAUCCUUUGUAGGUGAGACUCAAAGUAAUCCUUUGUAGGUGAGACUCAAAGUUGAAAGUAAGGAGUGGUAAAAUACAUUGUUUUUAAGGCGGUAAGGCAAGGCAAGGCAGCGGGCGGGUUGGGGGCGCUAAGCACUGUGGGUGUUUCUGUAGAAUAUCUCAUGUAUGCAAUAUUGUACUGAAUAAGGAAGAUGGAAUGAUCUCCGAUUAUAAACUCUUUUU